rnacentral:lncRNA from 1 species
GUCUGUCUAGAAUUCCAAAGGCAAAUGACUCAAGGUAACAGGAAAAAAGAAAAUCCAGUAUCAGGAUAAUCAGAACACCACAGGUUUACAGUUUGUAGAAACUAGAACACGAGCAGCUCUCACUUAAGGUCUGUGAUGGAACUCCAGUGGAGAAAAUGUUUUUUUCUAAGACUUUCCACAGAUGCUAUAGUACUAUUGACAAACUGAGUUAGAGAAGGAUUGUACUGCUAUGCUGUUGGAGUAUUCCCAGUGAAGCUGAAAUAUACAGCACAGUGCAGCUUUGGUUCAUAUUCAGUCAUCUCAGGAGAACUUCAGAAGAGCUUGACUAGGCCAAAUAUUGAAGUUAAGUUUUCAAAUAAUGGAACUUUUUAAGAUGCCUUUUAAAGGGGAGGGGCAAGUUUUGGCAAUUAGUUGGCAGUGGCCUGUUUUGGUUGGGGUUGGGUGGGUUGGGUUUAGGUAAUUGUUUAGUUUAUGAUUUCAGAUAACUCAUGCCAGAGAACUUAAAUACUUAGGAUGGAAAAACUAAAGAAAUCUCACCUCCCAAGUUGGCAAGUAACUCCUGAUCCUCUAGUUUCUUGUUUUACCCCAAUUUUUGAACUGGACAGCUGGGAACUUCAAAGAUUCACUGGAUUUAAAGUGUAGGGCUUGGGAAAGGAAAGUGUUGGAUUGGGGGUUGGUCUAGCCCACUGGGUUGACCAAGAUAAAAACUUGGGGAAUUGUUUAAACACUAAAGUUGUUUGGAUAUGGUAGUGUGUGGUUCUCUUUUGGAAUUUUUUUCAGGUGAUUUAAUAAAACUUAAUACUACUAUAGGAGCUUCAGAGCAAAGGAAGUGGCUUAAUGAUCCUGAAGGGAUUUCUUCUGAUGGUAGCUUUUAUAUUAUCAAACUUUUUUCAGAUAACAUCUUCUGAGUCAUACCCAGCCUGGCAAUAUGAUGGCCUAGAUGGAGAGGGGAACAGCUCCUUGGUGAAUGAUAAGUUUCUCAUUAUCAGAAGAGUUGCUUCAUAUCAUCUGGGAGCAGAAAACAGCAGGCAGCUGUUCACAGAUAAGUUUAACUUGCAUCUGCAGUAUUGCAUGUUAGGGAUAAGUGCUAUGUUUAAUAAGAGCUGUGGAGGUCCUAGGUCCCUUACUCAAGGGAUCUCAGGAUUUUGAGGAAUUUUCCCAUCCAGCCUUUUAAAAUGAGACAGGCCUUAUGCCUGUGGGCUUCCAUGAUGGGCUAACUCACUUCACUCGAGGCAAGUAAUUCCUUAAAGCCUCUUGAGAUUAAUACCUUAAUAAUCAAGGAUAAUGUUGAUAAAAUAAAAAUUUGUUUAGCAUUGAUUCUUGAAAACCCUAUGAAAAGAUAGCAUAAUGUGCUGUUAACCAGAAUCAGAUAUGUUAACCUUGCUAAAAUUUAAAUGUUAUGUGUAUUGUGCAGAAAACCGUAAAAUCACUCAAAAUAAAAUACUUUAUUUAGCGAAUGUAUGCUUUUAGAAAGCUGUCUCCUUAUUUAAAUAAAAUAUUGUUUGUCUGUAGUUAGUGUUGGGCAAUCUUGGGGGGAUUCUUCUCAUCUUUCAGAGACUUUGUCUGCGAACACUCUGUAAUGGACAAGAUCAGGAAUUGAGCUGAAGAACGAAUUUAACUUAAGGCAGGAAAGACAAAUUUUAUCCUUCGUAAAAUUGAUGACCAUUUAAUAAUUCCAGGCACAUGGCCAUAGAGACCCUCUAAAUAAAUAAGGAAUAAAUACUUAUUAGGCAGGUGGGAGAUUAUGAUCAGAAGAACAGGUAACUACACCUACGCAUUUUUCAGAAAGUCAGGAGUCGAAAUUGACAGUACUGAAGUAUAAUGCGGUCCACAUUUCCAAAGUUUGCAUGUUAAAUUGAAAUGCUUACCAUCUCAUCUAGUGUUAGCCAAUGCUUUACACUUAUUAGCCUUUUAUAUAGACACUUGGUGGGGGGCAUGUGGGUUUUUUAAAGAACUUUCCUUUGCAGAGGCUUCGUUUCAUCCUUCAUGAGGCUGUUCAGGAUUUUGACUUGCAUAUAAACGCUUGGCUCUGCCUUCUGUUCUCCUAGUGGGUGUGUGAGACCUUGCAGUGAGUUUUCAGCAUACUCAAGUAAAAAUUUUUUUCCCCCUGAUUUUGGAGGGAAGGGAGGAGAGGGUGGGGCUUACUUGUUUUUAGCUUUUUUUUUGCAGACUACACAGAAUGCAGUUGUCUUGACCUCAGGUCUGUCUGUUCUGUUGGCAAGUAAUAAUGCAGUACUGUUCUGACCUGCUGCUAUUAGAAUGCAUUGUGAAACGACUGGAGUAUGAUUAAAAGUUAUGUUUCCCCCAAUGCUUGGAGUAGUGAUUGUUGAAGGAAAAUCCACUGAGUGAUAAAAGGCUGAGUGUUGAGGAAAUUUCUGCAGCUUUAAGCAUUCAUGUUUGUGAUUGAAGCAGUCCUUUUUGCUGUGCUUUAGGUAAAAUG